UACGUAGGGUCCAAGCGUUAAUCGGAAUUACUGGGCGUAAAGCGUGCGCAGGCGGUUGUGUAAGUCAGAUGUGAAAUCCCCGGGCUCAACCUGGGAAUUGCAUUUGAGACUGCACGGCUAGAGUGUGUCAGAGGGGGGUAGAAUUCCACGUGUAGCAGUGAAAUGCGUAGAGAUGUGGAGGAACACCGAUGGCGAAGGCAGCCCCCUGGGUCAAGACUGACGCUCAUGCACGAAAGCGUGGGGAGCAAACAGG
rnacentral:rRNA from 1 species